GCCUUGUACACACCGCCCGUCACACCAUGAGAGUUUGUAACACCCGAAGCCGGUGGCGUAACCCUUUUAGGGAGCGAGCCGUCUAAGGUGGGACAAAUGAUUAGGGUGAAGUCGUAACAAGGUAGCCGUAGGAGAACCUGCGGCUGGAUCACCUCCUUU
rnacentral:rRNA from 1 species